UAUGAUUUUGGUAAAAAUUUUGUGUGCUUUGGAGUUUAUAUGAAAGAGAUAUAGGUGCUCAAAAUUAAGGUGUUGAUUUCAUACCUACUAUAUAAAAAUUUGAAAAAAACUAAACUUUUGGAUCAAGAGAUAUAAAUUUCCAAAAUUUAAGGUAAAAAUAUUCUAUACGAGAAGAAAAUAUUUUGAAGGAUUUUGUUAUAAUUUGAACUUUUGUGCAAAAUAAAGAAGUUUUUGGGAGCUAAAACAUCAUACAUAAGCCAAAGCUAAACUCUUUAUAGCUAAAUACAAAGUGUAUUUCUAGAUUGUAAAUUAUACCAUACGACAAUAUGAAUUAUAGGGUGGAUCUUUAUAGACUUUCAUAGAUAUAAUCGAUAAGCAACAAAAUUGAUUUAUUUAUAAAUAAGAAAAGGUUCCAAC
rnacentral:lncRNA from 1 species